AUGGUAACCCAAAGGAAUACCAAAAGGCCAUUCAAAGCCGUCAGGCAGAGCCAGUCCUUUAAAAAGCCCACUCCGGCUGCUUGGUCAUGGUGGGCAAAGCUCCCCACCGGGAACCCAGGGCCGAGAACCUCUUGCCAGGGCUGGCCAGCUUUGCAACGUAAGGAAAGGGGCCGUCUGCUACAGCCGAUCCUUCCAGGUAAAAAAGGACGAGGAGGAGAGAACGGAGCCUGGAAACAGCCGCGCUCUCUCGCCCACCGCGGCUGCAUCUCCAGGCCCAAAGAAAAAGAGCCACGUGGAUGCCCGACCUGGGGCAGGAGCGGAACAAGACACAGAGCAAAAGGAGAGUCCUGGGUGAUUGCAGGGUGCUUUCUCCAAGAUAUCAGCAAAUAUCUUUUGUCAUCAGCAAAUCCUAAAGUUUCAGAUCUGCAGGUCCUAUAGCCCUCUGAGAACCAACUCUCAUCAUCAACAACCAAGCGACAAAGAAAAGGAAACCCCCUUUAAACAACAAUCCAAGCUAACAAAGGCUCAAUACUUCGUUGGAAACAUUAGCAGAAUUCAUCCAGUCAUGGCAUUUAAAAAAAAAUAAAAUUAAAACUAUGCUUAUACA
rnacentral:lncRNA from 1 species